rnacentral:rRNA from 1 species
UACGUAGGGUGCGAGCGUUGUCCGGAAUUAUUGGGCGUAAAGAGCUUGUAGGCGGUUUGUCGCGUCUGCUGUGAAAAUCCGGGGCUCAACCCCGGACUUGCAGUGGGUACGGGCAGACUAGAGUGUGGUAGGGGAGAUCGGAAUUCCUGGUGUAGCGGUGAAAUGCGCAGAUAUCAGGAGGAACACCGGUGGCGAAGGCGGGUCUCUGGGCAACAACUGACGCUGAGGAGCGAAAGCGUGGGGAGCAAACAGG